AGAGUUUGAUCCUGGCUCAGGACGAACGCUGGCGGCGUGCUUAAUACAUGCAAGUCGAACGGAGUUAAGGGUUUCGGCCUUUAACUUAGUGGCGAACGGGUGAGUAACGCGUGAAUAACCUGACUCAAAGAGGGGGAUAACAACGGGAAACUGUUGCUAAUACCGCAUGAGACCACAACACCGCAUGAUGAAGGGGUCAAAGAUUUAUCGCUUUGAGAGGGGUUCGCGUCCCAUUAGGUAGUUGGAGGGGUAACGGCCCACCAAGCCAACGAUGGGUAGCCGAGCUGAGAGGCUGAUCGGCCACACUGGAACUGAGACACGGUCCAGACUCCUACGGGAGGCAGCAGUGGGGAAUAUUGGGCAAUGGGCGCAAGCCUGACCCAGCAACGCCGCGUGAGGGAAGAAGGUUUUCGGAUUGUAAACCUCUGUCCUAUGUGACGAAGGAAGUGACGGUAGCAUAGGAGGAAGCCCCGGCUAACUACGUGCCAGCAGCCGCGGUAAUACGUAGGGGGCGAGCGUUGUCCGGAAUUACUGGGCGUAAAGGGUGCGUAGGCGGUUUGGUAAGUUGGAUGUGAAAUACCCGGGCUUAACUUGGGGGCUGCAUCCAAUACUGUCGGACUUGAGUGCAGGAGAGGAAAGCGGAAUUCCUAGUGUAGCGGUGAAAUGCGUAGAUAUUAGGAGGAACACCGGUGGCGAAGGCGGCUUUCUGGACUGUAACUGACGCUGAGGCACGAAAGCGUGGGGAGCAAACAGGAUUAGAUACCCUGGUAGUCCACGCCGUAAACG
rnacentral:rRNA from 3 species